rnacentral:rRNA from 1 species
CACGUAGGAGGCGAGCGUUGUCCGGAAUCAUUGGGCGUAAAGAGCGCGCAGGCGGCUUGGCAAGUCGGGUGUGAAAUCCCGGGGCUCAACCCCGUGACUGCAUUCGAUACUGUCAGGCUAGAGGUAGGUAGGGGAGAUCGGAAUUCCUGGUGUAGCGGUGAAAUGCGCAGAUAUCAGGAGGAACACCGGUGGCGAAGGCGGAUCUCUGGGCCUUACCUGACGCUCAGGCGUGAAAGCGUGGGGAGCAAACAGG